rnacentral:rRNA from 1 species
GACGAACGCUGGCGGCGUGCUUAACACAUGCAAGUCGAACGGAAAGGCCCUGCUUGCGUGGGGUGCUCGAGGGGCGAACGGGUGAGUCACGUGUGAGUAACCUGCCCUUGAUUGUGGGAUAACUUCAGGAAACUGGGGCUAAUACCGGAUAGGACCUCCUGCUGCAUGGUGGGGGUAGGAAAGUUUCGGCGGUUGGGGAUGGACGCGCGGCUUAUCAGCUGGUUGGUGGGGUAGUGGCUUACCAAGGCUUUGACGGGUAGCCGGCCUGAGAGGGUGACCGGCCACAUUGGGACUGAGAUACGGCCCAGACUCCUACGGGAGGCAGCAGUGGGGAAUAUUGCACAAUGGGCGGAAGCCUGAUGCAGCAACGCCGCGUGCGGGAUGACGGCCUUCGGGUUGUAAACCGCUUUCGCCUGUGACGAAGCGUGAGUGACGGUAAUGGGUAAAGAAGCACCGGCUAACUACGUG